AAGGUUUUAAGUUAAUUAAACUAUUAACCUUCAAAGUUGACAAUAUCCAAAAUUUAAGCCUUA
rnacentral:tRNA from 1 species